rnacentral:lncRNA from 13 species
CUUUAGGGCAAACUUGGUACCCCUCUACGUGGCACUAUAUGAUACCAUGUGUCGAAGCUAAAUAUAAGUUCAUUGCAAUUACAUUACUAGUAGAGGUAGUUAGUUUAGUGUAGUGAUGAUUUCUGCUAAGCCCAACGCUAACCCAUGUCCGUCUGUCCUCCUGUCUGUCUCCAGUGGCUGCUUGGUGCUGUGUCUUUCUGUCUCUCUGCUCACCCUGCUGCUGCAGAGCCUCUGGGUGCCUCCAGAGAUGACCAGAGAGGAGCCGGCAGGUGCAGGGAGGUCCCCUGAGGAACAGAGUCACCAUGGUAACAGCGUGCGAAGACUGGCUCUACGCUUAGAGGCUCUGAGCUCUCAGGUGCAGCGGCUAGCGAGGGAGAGAGACACUCCCCAGCCUGCUAAAGAAGAACUUAUUAACCUUCUGCAAAGGUACAUCUACACUCCUAACACACAUCCACACUCAGACAAAGUAGUUAAAAUCAUGUUAUUGGAUAUUCAAUACAUAAAUUCAACAUUAUAUCAGACACACAGCACUGAAACUGCAUUUUUCUGGUGAGUCUCAUGUGGGUGUGUAUGUGCGUAAUUGUGUGGUCACCCAGUCUCCGGCAGGACCAGGAGGGCUUGGUGCGGUCCGUGGAGCGAGAGUUACAGAGAAUGGCCCAGAAGCUGGAAAGCCUCGGUCAUCAGCCCCACACACCACGACCACAAGACGACCACAGACCGCAGACAGGUAGGACCACAACCAGCCCUGGUCAUAGCCUUUCUCUAACUAGUAAUAAUACAAUAUGGUUCUUUAGUAGGCAUACAUUUAUUAUCAAAAGCAACUUACAGUACAGAGGGGCCAUGCAGGAAUCAAACCCCAAACUUGGAACCACAUUGGAACUACAUCAUAUAACAUUAGCUAGAGAAGCUUACCAUAACAGAGAGACCUAUAAUUACAAUUGGAUCCUGUGUUGCUCAGAUGGUAGAUCAUGGCGCUUGUAACACCAAGCGUCGUGGGUUUGAUUCCACUGGGGCCACCCGCAUGUAAAAUGUCUGCAUGCAUGACUGUAAGUUGCUCUGGAUAAAACCGUCUGCUAAAUGGCAUAUAUUAUUAUACACUGAGUAUACCAAACAUUACAGUGGCAUGUGAAAGUAUUCACCCCCCUUGGCAUUUUUCCUAUUUUGUUGCCUUACAACCUGGAAUAAAAAUAUAUAUCUUUUUUUGGGGGGGGGGGGUUGUAUUAUUUGAUUUACACAACAUGAAGAUGCAAAAAAU